GGUAUUUAAUGAAAGUAAGUUUUACAAUUCAUGAUAUUUGACUCUAGCGAAGCAUAAAUAUGUGUGUCGGUCAUUUUAACUCAGUAUUUCCCACACGUUCCAAGUUAAUCACGUGUUUCUAUUUUUGUAGGGCCUUUAGCAAUAGUUCUACUAGCUAAUUCAUUAUUUCAGAGAUAUUCUAAAUAAGUCUAGUUCCCACUAUUUCGUCUAGCGUGCGUUAUAGUUUUCGAAAACUCUACCUAACUAGAAAUAUUCUAAAAUUUCAUAAAUUAGUAGAUUCUGACACCGAAUGGAUUCUUGGUCCUGGAAGUUUCAAGCAUUCCGCAAGUUUUCAUUCGAAUCCGAGAGUUAAUAUUAAUAUAUGUAUAAAGUUUAAAUAUAAUCAAACACUUGUUAGGUUUCAGGGGCGAAGCCAGGAAUUUUCAAAGGGGGGAUAGGGGGGUGAGUGGGUGGGGUUGGUGGAGGGGUCUGAAAUUUAUAAUUGCAAAGUUAGAACGCAACAACUAGCGGGUCCGGGAAACAUGGGUUUUCCAGAGCCUUGAGGGUCUGAAAGCGUUACAAACUACGAAUCAUUGCUAUGUAUAUAUGAUACAGAAAAUCAAAAGAGGGGAUCCGACCCUGUUAGGUUUACCUGAGCUUUUUAAUACUUGAGCUUUUUAUGAUCAAAAGUAAUAUUUGAAAAACUGCUGUGGAACGGUCAGACUAAUUUAGUUUGUUAGAAGGGGACAAUAAAAAGCUGGGAGAAUUUUUGCGAUAAAUGGGACGGUUACUGACGGUAGUGAAAGCAGACUGCUUGGACUUUGAUUAAAGGAAGUAAGUACUUCACGUUAAAAAAGGCGUUUGUUGAGUAUUGUAUUCGAUUUAUUUUUCCAACUUACGUCUUCCCAAUGUUGAAAAAGAUCCAAGUGUGUUGCUGAUGAAUAUGAAAGAUCGUUCAGCGGGUGAGAAGAAGUGAGAGCGUCAAUAUCAAAAGCUGCAUGAAGUUCAUCGAGAAGAAAUCUAUCUUUCUGGAAAACAAAACGAAUAGCAAGAAUGAUACAGCGUUAUAAAAUAUAUACAAGUUAAUAAACAGUAGGACUUGCAAAAGAUUUUUAUAUAGAAAAUAAAUUGACUGACACAA